UGGAUUCCUCUUGUCCUGGGGUGAUAUGGAGGCCUGAAGUAGAAAGGGAGAAAAGAUAGGAAAUUAAAAACAAAGCAGUCCAAACAAACAAAAACCACAGAGUGCCAUUCUCUUCCCCAUCACGUGAAUCUAGCUACAAAGGAAAGGAUGAAGCUUCUCAGUGAGCAACCGGAAGCAAAGCAGGGACUCCUGAAGGAGACCAGGUCUUUGGAGGACCAAAGCCACCCCAGAGCCCCACUCACGGAAUGAACAACAGCCAGGAUAGAUUCUGUGGCUAAACUCCUGCCUUUCCAGUGAAAAUUCUUGCAUAACUGAACAAGUUCCACGUUGUAGUAAAGGACACGAAGCGUUGAUGCUACUGUGCCAGAAAUUCUUGGAUACUUCCUUGGAGCUCCUGGGGCCUGGAUUUGACUCAUGGAAGAUUUUCGCUUCUCCAUGUAGCGUCAAAGCCGCCACUAGAGAGAACACUCAGUAUUGAUGCAAUUCACUUCAGUGGCAAACCAAGACAGAACAUGCUAUUCAUGAGGCUGAAUCGCCCAGGGAGGCAAAGGAACGAUGAGAGUCUGAUGACUAAGGGUAGAUAACUGCUCUUUCAGAAUCAGACAGUGGGGAAAGCUUCUUUAGAAGGGGUCACAUCCCCGCCACAGUUAGAAGACUCAACACCCUACUUGGCUGCCUGCCUUCUGCAUUGAUGGAGCCCUCUGCACAAAUUCAACUGGAUCUGUUCUCAGAAGCUCACAUUUCCUCUCUGCCGGGGAUACUGUUUAGCUCUUGAUGGGAAUUCUGUCUGUAUCAGCAUCACUGUUCAAAAUCCACCACAAAAUCAAAAGGGAAGAAGCAUCCCUUUUGGAGUGUUCUGUAUCAGGACUCAGCAGGUCCUUCCCUCCUGGGAAUUGCAUCCACAGACAGCAGUCCCCUUGGCCCCCCGUGGUCCUCAUCAAAGCCAGACUCGAGAAUGAAGAGAUGCACUGGAUCGAGUCUAUCUCGUGUUGGAGUCACUGACUCUAAGUUCUGAUGCAGUCACAGGGCAGAGCCAUUUAGCACUGAGGAGGCAGAAAUGAAAGAGCUUGCGGUUCAAAUACAUGGGACUUUCUAGCAUGCAGGCUGUAAGUGGAUCCAAUACUUUAUGUGUGGACCACCGAGGGGACAGACAG
rnacentral:lncRNA from 1 species